rnacentral:rRNA from 1 species
CCGGCGCACGGGUGAGUAACGCGUAUCCAACCUGCCGUCUACUCUUGGACAGCCUUCUGAAAGGAAGAUUAAUACAAGAUGGCAUCAUGAGUCCGCAUGUUCACAUGAUUAAAGGUAUUCCGGUAGACGAUGGGGAUGCGUUCCAUUAGAUAGUAGGCGGGGUAACGGCCCACCUAGUCUUCGAUGGAUAGGGGUUCUGGGAGGAAGGUCCCCCACAUUGGAACUGAGACACGGUCCAA